rnacentral:rRNA from 1 species
AUGAAUGUUUGGAAAGAGCUUGCUCUGGAGAAACUAAUUCAAAAGGCGUGUCUCAUUGAUAGGGCGGGCGAAAUCCUUACAGCUAAUUACACUGCUGCGGCUGCCCCUAAAGCUAAGAGGAAAAUAGGAGGAUGGGAACUCCCGCCUAGAGGAUAUGUGAAAUUGAAUGUGGAUGGCUCCUUCAACGAUGAUCUGCUUGUAGGGACGGCAGGUGCAAUCAUCAGAGAUGACAGAGCUAAUUUUAUCAGCGCAGGGAGGAAGAUCGGCAGGACCAGCAGCAGCAAUCUUGGACGACUGUUAUCACAUGGCAUGUGA